rnacentral:rRNA from 1 species
GACGAACGCUGGCGGCGUGCUUAACACAUGCAAGUCGAACGGAAAGGCCCUGCUUUUGUGGGGUGCUCGAGUGGCGAACGGGUGAGUAACACGUGAGUAACCUGCCCUUGACUUUGGGAUAACUUCAGGAAACUGGGGCUAAUACCGGAUAGGAGCUCCUGCUGCAUGGUGGGGGUUGGAAAGUUUCGGCGGUUGGGGAUGGACUCGCGGCUUAUCAGCUUGUUGGUGGGGUAGUGGCUUACCAAGGCUUUGACGGGUAGCCGGCCUGAGAGGGUGACCGGCCACAUUGGGACUGAGAUACGGCCCAGACUCCUACGGGGGGCAGCAGUGGGGAAUAUUGCACAAUGGGCGGAAGCCUGAUGCAGCAACGCCGCGUGCGGGAUGACGGCCUUAGGGUUGUAAACCGCUUUCGCCUGUGACGAAGCGUGAGUGACGGUAAUGGGUAAAGAAGCACCGGCUAACUACGUG